UCUCUCUCUCACACACACACACACAGAGGCUUGCUCUGACCUGAUGGGCAGCUCCACCCUCUCUGAGCACUAAAACCUCUCCAAGAAUAUGACACCUCGCCCAUUCCAUCUUCCUCCAUCUUAACUCUCCUCCUGCCAUGGCCUCCGACGACCACCACAUUCCCAACGGCUCCACCACCACCCCACCUGACAUUCAAUUCGAAUUCGCCCACCACGACCCCGCAAUAGCCCGCAUCAACAACGGCAGCUUCGGUUCCUGCCCAUCCUCCGUAAUCUCCGCCCAGCAAGAUUGGCAGCUCAAAUGGCUUCAACAACCCGAUGAUUUCUACUUCAACACCCUCAAGCCCUCCAUCUUAAAAGCCCGUUUAAUCAUCCGGGACCUCAUCAACGCCGACCACGUGGAGGAAAUCUCCAUCGUCGAUAACGCCACCACGGCCGCAGCCAUUGUCCUGCAGCAUGUUACCUGGUCCUUUUUGUCCUCCCAGUUUCAGCCCGGCGACGCGGCAAUCAUUCUCCACUAUGCUUAUGGGGCCGUCAAGAAAUCCCUCCAGGCCUAUGUUGCCCGCGCCGGCGGCCAAAUUAUUGAGGUGAAGCUUCCGUUCCCCGUGAAUUCGGAUGAAGAAAUUAUUCAAGAAUUCAGAAAGGCCCUUGAAUUGGGGAGGAUGAAUGGUAGGAAAAUCAGGCUAGCUUUGAUUGAUCAUAUUACUUCAAUGCCUAGCGUUGUUAUUCCUGUCAAAGAAUUGGUUAAGAUGUGUAGAGAGGAAGAUGUGGAUCAGAUAUUUGUUGAUGGGGCACACUCCAUUGGGUGUGUGGAUAUUGAUGUGAAAGAUAUUGGGGCUGAUUACUACACUAGUAAUCUGCAUAAGUGGUUUUUUUGCCCGCCAGCUGUGGCGUUUUUGUACUGUAAAAAAUCGGAUAUUUUGAAUCAAUUGCAUCAUCCUGUUGUUUCACAUGAAUACGGGAAUGGAUUGGCGAUCGAGAGUUCUUGGAUCGGUACCAGGGACUAUAGUGCUCAGUUGGUAGUUCCAGAGGUGAUGGACUUUGUGAAUAGGUUUGAUGGUGGGAUUGAUGGAAUUAAGAAGAGGAAUCACGAGAAGGUUGUGGAAAUGGCAAUUAUGUUGGCUAAGGCGUGGGGGACGCAUCUAGGUGUGCCUCCACAUAUGUGUUCCAGCAUGGCUAUGGUGGGAUUGCCUGCUUGUUUGGGGAUUUUUAGUCACUCUGAUGGCUUGAAGUUGAGGGCUUAUUUAAGGGAUUGUUUUAAAGUUGAAGUGCCAAUAUACCAUAGAGAACCAGAAAAAGGGGAGGAUAGUCCUAUAACAGGGUAUGCAAGGAUUUCCCAUCAAGUGUAUAACACAGUUGAGGAUUAUUAUAAGUUCAGGGAUGCUGUUAACAAGCUCGUUAACGAUGGUGUUACUUGUGCUUUUCUCUCAGAUUGAGAAGGUUAUACAUCUUUCUUGGAAGCUACUUCUGAAUUUUUGCUCUUUCCUACAUUUGCAUGUCAAAUUACUAACUCGUGAGGUAACAAUAUGUAUCAAAAUAAUGAGAAGCUGAUGAUCGAAGGAGUUAGUCAUGCCAUAUUACGGUUGCUUUUCUCACGGAUUGGGUUUUGUAGAAUUUGCUACCAACAGGAACUUUGGAAAUUGAGUUACUUGAUUUCUAGGUCAAGUUGACUCUUUUAAACGUUUUGUGGAUCUCUUUCUUUAUAUCUAUAUCUACCGUCUGAAGCUUGGUCCUUCUGCUCUUGCUUUGUAUACUACUUGCCUUUUGCAGCUAUGUAUGGGUAAAGAAAAUAAAGGUCUUGGUUUGAUAGAAUCAUUUGAUGGUUCCAGAUCAAAAGUAUAGAACGUGUCUGCAUCAAAAGGAGCUCCUUCAUUUUCAGAAAAACAGAGCAUAGGUCGUAAAAUUUUUUCUUGUGCAAAAGUCCGUUUUCGUUACGAAAAUUCUUUCUAGAUCACUGGCUGAUGAAUGAUUGUUUUUCAAAUAAGAAAUACUUCUUGGUUCCUCUUCAUCAGUUUAAUUUGGUGCUGACCACCAUAGCUUCAAGAGGUUGAAGACAAAGACCUGUAAAUUGAAGUGCUUACCUGCACUCAAAAGCUUGCCUUCAUGGCCGUUGAUGCUUCAGCUACUAAAAUACCUCUGAUACUUGCCAUUCAUGCUGUUGGAGCUAUUGGCUAAUAAAGUGCCUCAACAAGAAUUAUGUGACUUAAUUGAUUUCACUUGAUGGACUUGACACCUUCAAAUGCAAAUGGAAGUUUGCUGUGAAGUGUUAAGCCAGAAACUCAUCCACUAAAAGCUCUGUUGUACUAUCCUGGAUGAUAUAGCUAUGUCCAUUUAACUUGUAAAGGGGACAUAUUAACGGGGAUCGUUUGAAGAGCUGGCACAUUGUCCUACUCGAAUUCCUUGGACACUGGAGUUGUUAGGUCAUUGUCUAGAUGUCUUUCCUAACAUCAGUUUCAGUAUUUUAUUUGAAUGGGCUGCAUCAGCAUUCUAGCUCGUUGGGUGGAAGGACUGCUGCUUCUUUUAAGCUGAAGUUAUACAUACAUUUUUUUUUUUUUUUCAGGUGUAGAUUUCAGUUACAAUGUAGUCACUGUUGCAUUGGCAAUGGUCAUGGUUUGAGGAAACAUGUACCUUUUUUAUUGAUUUUGUUUCCAAAAA